AGCAACUCAGGAGGUUGAGGCAGGAGGAUUUCGAGUCCAAAGCCAGUCUUAGCAAUGGCAAGAUGCUAAACUAUUUAUUCAGUGAGACCCUGUCUCUAAAUAAAAUACAAAAUAUGACUGAGGAUGUGGCUCACUGGUUGAAUGCCCCUGAGUUCAAUCCCUAGUACUCCCCCUCUGCCAAAAAUAAAGAAAAUUGGAGAGAUCCCAAGUAAACAGGCUAAUGAUGCAUCUCAAGGCCCUUGAAAAAGAAGAACAAGCCAAUUCUAAAACAAGUAGAUGAAAGGAAAUAAUUAAGAUCAGAACUUAAACAAUGAAAUUGAGAAUAAAAUAAGAACAAAGGAUCAAUGAAACAAAGUUGAUUUUUUGAAAAUAUAAACAAGAUUGAUAAGUUGUUAUGGUUUGGAUGUGAGAUGUCCCCCAAAAGCUCAUGUAUGAGUCAAUGAAAGAAGGUUUAGAGGAGAAAUGAUUGAAUUGUGAGGGCCUUAACCCAAUCAGUGAAUCAGUCAUCUGAUGGGAUUAACUUUGUGGUGAUUGAAGGCAAGUAGGGAAUGGCUGAAGGAGGUCUGGCAGUGAGGGUGUGGCUUUGGGGUAUAUAUUUGUAUUUAGCAAGUGGAGAUCUCUCUCUCUCUCUGCUUUCUGAUCAUCAUGUGAGCUGCUUCCCUCCACCACACUUUUCCACCAUGAUGUCCUGCCUCACCUUGAGCCCAGAGGAAAGGAGCCUACAGUCAAUGGACUGAGACCUCUGAAACAGUGAACCCCCAAAUAAAAAUUUUCUCCUCUACAAUUGUGCUGGCUGGGUCUUUUAGUCACAGUGGCAAAAAACAAAAACAAAAAACUGACUAAAACGUAAGUCAGACUAACCAAAAGAAAAAGAGAGAAGACCUAAAUUAAUAAUAUUAAUAAAUUAGAGACUAAAAAGGAGAAAUCACUUGAGACAUCACAAAAAUCCAAUGGAUCAUUAGGGACCAUUUUGAAAACUUAUGCUCCAAUAAACUGGAAAAUCUAGAAGAAAUGGAUACAUUUUUAGACACAUAAGAUCUGCCAAAAUUUAAUCAAGAAGACAUACAAAACCUAAACAGACCAACAACUUGUAAUGGAAUAGAAGCAGCAAUGAAAAGCCUUCCAACAAAGAAAAGCCCAG
rnacentral:lncRNA from 1 species